UACAGAGGUGGCAAGCGUUGUUCGGAAUUACUGGGCGUAAAGCGCGUGUAGGCGGCUCUUCAAGUCAGGCGUGAAAGCCCUGGGCUCAACCGAGGAAGUGCAUCGGAAACUAUUUGACUAGAAGACGGUAGAGGAAGGUGGAAUUCCAAGUGUAGAGGUGAAAUUCGUAGAUAUUUGGAGGAAUACCGGUGGCGAAGGCGGCCUUCUGGGCCGAUCUUGACGCUGAGACGCGAAAGCGUGGGGAGCAAACAGG
rnacentral:rRNA from 1 species